rnacentral:lncRNA from 1 species
ACGCUCAGCAUGGGACUCAAACAACAGAAAUUAAGCAUACUGAAACCCUAAGGAGGAUGUGUCAUACUACACUCUACACAACUACAAAGUGUCAAGGAAAGCCGGGCCUCUGGGGCUGGCAUCUGUACACCUUUCUACAAACCGAUUCUUUGUGGCUGCAGAAUGGCUAUUACCUUUCUGGGGCUAGUGCUCAGGUUACAAGCUUCUGUGAAGGAUAUCUUCAAACUCCUUGAGACUGCACCUGGGUGCCGUGGAUAACAGCAGCAGGAACCUGAUGGCUACAGGUCUGGAAGAGCAGCUGUCAGGAUCGGGAGAAGGGAUGCUGGUGGCCAACACAGUCCUGCGUUGGAAAGAGCCUAGUUUUCUCGGCUUUGUGGGGUGUGGUCCAUGCUGUUCCUCUUUAGUAUCUGCGACCAUCUGUGCUGGCAGGUGCUUCCUGCUUUGUUAUGCUUUUGUGUCUGGCUGACUACCUUGUUUCCAUCCUGGCACCUAAAAUUUUUAACUCCAGUAAAUGAACCACUUUAAAGAACAGCAACCAUUUCAAGACAUGGGCAUCAACCUAUUAAAAACUCAGCACGGUUUUGGAAGGGCUUUGGACGGGUGGAAACACAUCUUUCUGCUAAAGGAAGAAGAGCCGAAAAUGUACUUGACCUUGAUCACCAUAGUCCUUUCCUUCGUGCAGUUGAUUGGGUGGGACGGCGAGUUCACAGGCUGCAUACCUGAUGGUGACAUCUGUGCUGUUGCUUUGUGAACUAAGACAUCGUGAGCUGGUUUGAAAGUAUA